GAUGAAGAACGUAGCGAAAUGCGAUAAGUAAUGUGAAUUGCAGAAUUCAGUGAAUCAUCGAAUCUUUGUACGCACAUUGCGCCCGCCAGUAUUCUGGCGGGCAUGCCUGUUCGAGCGUCAUUACAACCCUCAGGCCCCCGGGCCUGGCGUUGGGGAUCGGCGGAGCCCCCCGUGGGCACACGCCGUCCCCCAAAUGCAGUGGCGGUCCCGCCGCAGCUUCCAUCGCGUAGUAGCUAACACCUCGCGACUGGAGAGCGGCGCGGCCACGCCGUAAAACACCCAACUCUUCUGAAGUUGACCUCGAAUCAGGUAGGAAUACCCGCUGAACUUAAGCAUAUCAAUAAGCGGAGGA
rnacentral:misc_RNA from 1 species